CCUACGGGAGGCAGCAGUGAGGAAUAUUGGUCAAUGGGCGAGAGCCUGAACCAGCCAAGUCGCGUGAGGGAGUACUGCCCUAUGGGUUGUAAACCUCUUUUGUCGGGGAGCAAAAGCCGGACGUGUGGGCGUAUGGAGAGUACCUGAAGAAAAAGCAUCGGCUAACUCCGUGCCAGCAGCCGCGGUAAUACGGAGGCUGCGAGCGUUAUCCGGAUUUAUUGGGUUUAAAGGGUGCGUAGGCGGGACCUUAAGUCAGCGGUAAAAUUGCGGUGCUCAACGCCGUAGAGCCGUUGAAACUGGGGUUCUUGAGUGAGCGAGAAGUAUGCGGAAUGCGUGGUGUAGCGGUGAAAUGCAUAGAUACCACGCAGAACCCCGAUUGCGAAGGCAGCAUACCGGCGCUCAACUGACGCUGAGGCACGAAAGUGCGGGUAUCGAACAGGAUUAGAUACCCCUGUAGUC
rnacentral:rRNA from 1 species